UCCGGUUUAACACCGGCAGUCUCGCUAGAGUACUCGGCAUUACCCGUUAGCAACUAACGACAGGGGUUGCGCUCGUUAGGGGACUUAACCCGACACUUCACAGCACGAGCUGACGACAGCCAUGCAGCACCUGUGCACGUUCCACCCUUGCGGGUGUGGCUCCCCUUUCAGGGAGUUAAUCCGUGCAUGUCAAACCCAGGUAAGGUUCUUCGCGUUGCAUCGAAUUAAGCAACAUGCUCCACCGCUUGUGUGAGCCCCCGUCAAUUCCUUUGAGUUUUAGCCUUGCGACCGUACUCCCCAGGCGGCGCACUUAACGUUUUUACAUCGACCGAAAGGGCGUCAGAGCCGCUCCGAUCUAGUGCGCAUCGUUUACGGCGUGGACUAC
rnacentral:misc_RNA from 1 species